UGGGGAAUAUUGGACAAUGGGCGCAGGCCUGAUCCAGCCAUGCCGCGUGAGUGAUGACGGCCUUAGGGUUGUAAAGCUCUUUCGCUCGGGACGAUAAUGACGGUACCGAGAUAAGAAGCCCCGGCUAACUUCGUGCCAGCAGCCGCGGUAAUACGAAGGGGGCUAGCGUUGUUCGGAAUUACUGGGCGUAAAGCGCGUGUAGGCGGGUCUUUAAGUCAGGGGUGAAAUGCCAAGGCUCAACCUUGGAACUGCCUUUGAUACUGGAGAUCUUGAGUCCGGGAGAGGUGAGUGGAACUGCGAGUGUAGAGGUGAAAUUCGUAGAUAUUCGCAAGAACACCAGUGGCGAAGGCGGCUCACUGGCCCGGUACUGACGCUGAGAUGCGAAAGCGUGGGGAGCAAACAGGAUUAGAUACCCUGGUAGUCCACGCUGUAAACGAUGGAUGCUAGCCGUUAGGCAGCUUGCUGCUUAGUGGCGCAGUUAACACUUUAAGCAUCCCGCCUGGGGAGUACGGUCGCAAGAUUA
rnacentral:rRNA from 1 species